rnacentral:lncRNA from 1 species
AGGAGACUGACUAGGACAAAACCAGAAGGAGCCGUCCAACAUUGGAAAGAAGUAAUUGAAGAAAGUUAACCCAGGAUCAGAGGACAGAGAGGAGAUAAUGCCUGAAGCUUAAUUCAACCUGCAUUUUAACAAGCUGGAUACACCCCACUGAGGCCAUUACAGAAGCCAGCCAGUCCUGCCUUGCCUCCCCUGCUGAGCCUCUCAUCUCUCCACCUGCAGGGGCCGUCCUGCCCCAAUUCCUGGGGCAGCCAGGUGGCGGGGCCAGAGUCACCCUCCCUGAGGACUGACCUAGAACAUGGAGCUCCGGCGCUGCUGGCCUGACUUCUUGUCUUUCCGCAGGAGGCACGGAACGUUCUGGAGCCCGGAGCCAGCGUGGGCUUUGUGUUUCCAGUGUCCACAGGUGCUUGGCUGCACAGUAGUUCCCCCGGGGGGAACCCUGGGACCAGGUCGGCUCCCUGAACGCCUCUUCCUGGGACCUGCCUGUCUUCUCCUGCUCUUGCCCAAACUGAAUCCUUUCCACCCCAGGGAGCAGCCCCACGGGGAGCUCCCCGGCACCCACUGCUGCACCCCCCUUGUCCUUCUCGUUCGCUCAACCGAGAUCUUCACACGUUGACAUUUAUGUGAUGGCGACGGCCAGAAAUUAUAGACUGUGUCUAUAGACUACCUAUAGACAAUGCAAAUCUCGU